GUGCUGGCUUUGGCAGCACAUGUACUUGAAUUGGAAUGAUACAGAGAACAUUAGCAUGGCCCCUGCACAAGGAUGACACACAAAUUUAUGAAGUGUUCCAUAUUAAA
rnacentral:snRNA from 1 species